rnacentral:rRNA from 1 species
AGAGUUUGAUCCUGGCUCAGGAUGAACGCUAGCGAUAGGCUUAACACAUGCAAGUUGCGGGGCAUCGGGGGUAGCAAUACCUGCCGGCGACCGGCGUACGGGUGAGUAACGCGUAUGCAACCUGGCCUACACAGGGGAAUAGCCCAUGGAAACGUGGAUUAAUGCCCCAUAUUAUAUAAAAACUUCCUGGUUUUUAUAUGAAAGCUCCGGCGGUGUAGGAUGGGCAUGCGUCCCAUUAGGUAGUAGGCGGGGUAACGGCCCACCUAGCCUGUGAUGGGUAGGGGUUCUGAGAGGAAGGUCCCCCACACUGGAACUGAGACACGGUCCAGACUCCUACGGGAGGCAGCAGUGAGGAAUAUUGGUCAAUGGGCAAACGCCUGAACCAGCCAAAUCGCGUGAGGGACGACAGCCCUAUGGGUUUUAAACCUCUUUUAUUCGGGAAGAAUAAGUACCACGCGUGGUAUGAUGCCAGUACCGAAUGAAUAAGCAUCGGCUAACUCCGUGCCAGCAGCCGCGGUAAUACGGAGGAUGCGAGCGUUAUCCGGAUUUAUUGGGUUUAAAGGGUGCGUAGGCGGCAUUAUAAGUUAGUGGUCAAAUCUUCAGGCUUCACCUGGAAUUGCCAUUAAAACUGUAGAGCUAGAGUAUGUUUGAGGCAGGCGGAAUAAGUUAAGUAGCGGUGAAAUGCAUAGAUAUAACUUAGAACACCGAUAGCGCAGGCAGCUUGCCAAGCCAUAACUGACGCUGAAGCACGAAAGCAUGGGUAGCGAACAGGAUUAGAUACCCUGGUAGUCCAUGCCGUAAACGAUGCUUACUGGCAUUCGUAGAUAUGACAUACGGAUGUUGAUAGAAAUAAUUAAGUAAGCCACCUGGGGAGUACGUUCGCAAGAAUGAAACUCAAAGGAAUUGACGGGGGCCCGCACAAGCGGAGGAACAUGUGGUUUAAUUCGAU